rnacentral:lncRNA from 1 species
AUGACACAGACUGGCUACACCAUCUCAUCUGCAGCAGAUACUGUAUCAGGAGAACAGCGCGUUUGUUUGAGGCACUUUUCACUUCAACUCUGUCUGACAGGAGAAUUAGCUUUUCUGAGCCUACUAGCCGUUGAGAGUUACCAUGGCAACCGCGGACACGUCAGCUGCUGGAGAGGAGAGGACUCUGACAUUUUCUCUGUUUCUCGUCAGUUAUACCAAAGAAAAGUUCAACAACUGCGACAGAUUAUGUCGGGUGCAAACCUGAAGUUGCUGAAUGCCGACGCUGACUCGUCAUCUCCACACACGUGCCUUUAAUAGAAAUAAAUGCACCUUUUCAUAGGGACUAAAAAAAUCAAGAAUAUUACAAAACCGAGUGGGUGAAUUUUAUUUAUAUUUAUUUUAUUAUUAAUAUAAUUUUUAUUUAUUGAUUUAUUUAUUUAAAUUUUUUAAAACCUGUUUUGGUCAUAUUUAAUUGCAGGACUCCAGACUGCGACCAUUUUUUUCUGCUUAUGUGACUAAAUUUUGUGAGCGGUCGCACUGGCAUGACCACCGCGUUGUUCAACCACAGACUUUAUAAAAACAGGUGUUCAACUCAUAAGCGCUGCCAUUUCUGUUGCAUAUGUGAAACAUCAACGACAACUCGUGUGAACUGUGCAGGGCUAAGAGUGUAGAGACAUUGGGCUUUCCUAUGGUUUGCUUGUGGCCCAGAUCUGGCAAACAGGAGCAGACCGCCCAAGUGCCAUCAUUGAUUGGUGAAUGCAAACAACUUAUUGAUCAUGAGCCCAACAUCUAGUUUAAGUGAACGAAAGGUAAUAAUAAGCAAUAUGCCUUCACACAAAUAACCUUAUGAAUGUUUCAUUGACAUUCAGUAAUGUGACAGUGAGUUAGAAAAGAAAUGCAUAGUGACAUAAUUCCGUGAUAGCUUAAGGAAAUGGGGAGUCUCUUUUUAAAAAAAAAAAACAGUUCAGAGAAAUGAAAACCAGUUUGCGGAAAGGAAUCUGACUAUGGAAUGACUUCCCUGUGAUCAGUGCUCCCAGGCAUGUCAACUGUCAUGUGAUGUGUGUGUGGGUCACACACACUUCCUCAUCUGAGGUGGCGGUGUCCACUGCAUCUCCUCAAAAGGCCAACCCUGCCUGCUUUGACUCUUCUGAUGUCUUUAAUUUUGUAUUUUGUUUCUAUUUCAUCCAAUUUCCUAAUUCCCUGAUUGUUAUCACCUUUGUCUUGAUUGUCUACUUAACUCGUCUGUUUUUUUUGUGUAUUUGUUUGUUUUGUUUUAGUAAACUCUUCUGCAUUUAGAUCAAACUGCCCCUCAUUUCUAAAUCAUUCUGGUGUGACACACACCAGCAACAUCAUUAAAGAAUCAUCCCAGCUAACAGGGAAUGUUCCCAUAACUUUCACUAACAUUAUGUAAAAGUUAUGUAAAUGUUAGAAAAAAAACGUUCCUGACAUAAUGUUUCUGGAAUAGUCUUAUAAUGUUUUCAUAGUUACAAUACAUUGUCGUAACGUUGAGGGAAAACAUUCUCAUAACAACGUUCUUGUAACGUCUUUAUGUUAUUUUUACUUGACUCAUGUUCUCAUAAUGUUGAGAGAAAACGUUCCCAUAACAACGUUCUUGUAACGUCUUUAUGAUGUUAUUUUUACUUGACUGAUGUUCUCAUAAAGUUGAGACAAAAACGUUCCAUAACAACGUUCUUGUAACGUGUUUAUGAUGUUAUUUUAAUGACUGAUGUUCUCAUAAUGUUGAGUCUUUUAACGUCUUUAUGGUGUUAUUUUUACUUGACUGAUGUUCUCAUAAUGUUGAAGAAAAUGUUACUCAUAACAACGUUCUUGUAACGUCUUUAUGAUGUAUUUUACUUGACUGAUGUUUUCAUAAUGUUGAGCGAAAACGUUCCCAUAACAACAUUCUUGUAACGUCUUUAUGAUGUUAUUUUUACUUGACUGAUGUUCUCAUAACAACGUUCUUGUAACCUGUUUAUAGUGUUAUUUCAUAAUGUUGAACAAAUACAUUCUUAAAACAUCAUUAUUGGAAUGCCUUCAUUUUAGAAGUGAUGGGAACAGAAAGUACGAGUGUGACCAGUCCCAGACAGCAUGUAGUAAUUGACUCAGACUCGGCAUCGGCGAGUGUUAUCCGGGCAGAGUGUGGCCCGCAGCUCGCUCUCGCGCAUGUGUUUGUGAUGCGGCUCUAAAGCACUGACCCGAUUCCUGUUCACCGUAACCGGCUGUAGAGUCCGGCCCACUUCUGGCAAUGACUCGGCUCGGUUCAGUCAUAGAUGGUUACAUUAAUAUAGCAAUAAAUAACAUAAAACUAUUUUAAACUUGGCUUAAGAUCUUUACAGUAUCUUAUAAUGUUAAUUAUAUGUCUAAUGUCGUGAGUUUGUCAAAAACAAAUUAUCUUCCGGCUGAUGUAGAUUAUGGGAUGUUCCUCACCGUCCUGUACCUGGGAGAGGACGGCUCCCAAUCCCGUGUCCGAGGCAUCCGUCUGCAAGAGAAAGGGGCAGUUAAAGUCCCGCAAGACUGGCUCUGACGUGAGGGCUGCCUUGAUCCGACAGAAUGCCUCCUCCUCUGCAGGAUGGCUUCUCCGGCUGCCCCUUCCUGGUCAAGUCUGUCAGGAGGGCUGCUAAGGAGGAGAAGUGAGGGAUAAAACAACAGUAAUACCCUGCCAACCCCAGAAAAGAGGAAAGGUUAAGGAAUUACAGCUCUUUAAUAUUUACAGCCCCCCCUUUUUCAAAGGACCAUAAGUAAUUGGACAAUUGGCAAGUGACAAUUGAGGUCUGGAGUUGAUUCUAGGUGUGCCAUUUGCAUUUGGAAAUGGUUGCUGUGAGCCCACCUCAUGCGGUCAAAGAAUCUCUCCAUACAAGUGCAACAGACAAUGUUCCCAUAACUUUCACUAACAUUAUG